GGAAAAAUAUGUUUUUCAUCCCUGUAAUUAUAGGCCGUUUGAUUUUUCAUCCCUGAACUUACUAAUCCUUCCAUUUUGCCCCUGUAAUUACUAAUCAUUUGAAAGUUCGUCCCUCUUCCCGGAUAAUCACUGCCACGUCAUCAAAUUAGCAAAAUGCCAUGGGAAUUGACAAAAAUACCCCUGACUUAUUUUUAAAAUUCUGAAAAUUGUUUUUAUAAAUUAAAAAAAUUCUAAAAAUAUUUUGAAAAUAACUUUUUCGAAAAAAAUGAAAUAAUUUUUCACAUAAUUUGAAAAAAUAUAUAAUCAGAUUUUUUCGAAAUUAAUAUUCUGAUUUUUAAAAAAAAUCAGAUUUUUUAAUAAUUUUCGAAAUUAUAUAUUCUGAUUUUAAAAAAAUAUAUAUAAUUUUCCAUAUUUCAAAAAAUAUAUUUUUUAAAAUUAUAUAAUCGUAAAUUUUUUCGAAAUUAUUAUUAUGAUUUUUAAAAAAAUCAGAUUUUUUAAUAAUUUUCGAAAUUAUAUAUUCAGAUUUUAAAAAAUUAUAUAAUUUUAUAUUUUUUUCAUAUUUCAAAAAAUUAUAUUUUUUUAAAUUUUUUUUAUUUUUUAAAAUUAUUUUCAGAUUUUUAAAUUUUUAAAAAUAAGCCAGGGGUAUUUUUGUCAAUUCCCAUGCCAUUUUGCUAAUUUGAUGACGUGGCAGUGAUUAUCCGGGAAGAGGGACGAACUUUCAAAUGAUUAGUAAUUACAGGGGCAAAAUGGAAGGAUUAGUAAGCUCAGGGAUGAAAAAUCAAACGGCCUAUAAUUACA
rnacentral:lncRNA from 1 species